UCCGAGUUGACCCCGGCAGUCUCCCACGAGUCCCCACCAUCACGUGCUGGCAACAUACGACGGGGGUUGCGCUCGUUGCGGGACUUAACCCAACAUCUCACGACACGAGCUGACGACAGCCAUGCACCACCUGUGCUAGCCCCUUACGGACACGGGCUUUCACCCGCUUUAACUAGCAUGUCAAGCCUAGGUAAGGUUCUUCGCGUUGCAUCGAAUUAAACCACAUGCUCCACCGCUUGUGCAGGCCCCCGUCAAUUCCUUUGAGUUUUAGCCUUGCGGCCGUAGUCCCCAGGCGGAGUACUUAUCGCGUUGGCUUCGGCACCGAGGGGGUCGAUACCCCCGACACCUAGUACUCAUCGUUUACAGCGUGGACUAC
rnacentral:misc_RNA from 1 species